CCUACGGGAGGCUGCAGUAGGGAAUCUUGCUCAAUGGGGGAAACCCUGAAGCAGCAACGCCGCGUGGAGGAUGAAGGUUUUAGGAUUGUAAACUCCUUUUGUGAGAGAAGAUAAUGACGGUAUCUCACGAAUAAGCACCGGCUAACUCCGUGCCAGAAGCCGCGGUAAUACGGAGGGUGCAAGCGUGACUCGGAAUCACUGGGCGUAAAGAGUGCGCAGGCGGGCUUGUAAGUCAGAUGUGAAAUCCUGUAGCUUAACUACAGAACUGAAUUUGAAACUAUGAGUCUAGAGUGUGGGAGAGGGAGGUGGAAUUCGUGGUGUAGGGGUAAAAUGCGUAGAUAUCAAGAGGAAUACUCAUUGCGAAGGCGACCUACUGGAACAUUACUGACGCUGAUGCACGAAAGCGUGGGGAGCAAACAGGAUUAGAUACCCCUGUAGUC
rnacentral:rRNA from 1 species